ACAAUGCGAAGCGAAGCAGCGAUGUGAAGCAAAUCGCACCAAAGCCGGUCCCAGUUCGGAUAAGAGGCUGAAACUCGCCUCUUUGAAGUCGGAAUCGCUAGUAAUCGCAGAUCAGCAUGUUGCGGUGAAUACGUUUCCUGGUCUUGUACACACCGCCCGUCAAACCAUGAGAGUCGCCAACACCCGAAGUCCGCUUUGCGGCCUAAGGUGGGGGAGAUGAUUGGGGUUAAGUCGUAACAAGGUACC
rnacentral:rRNA from 1 species